UGCCGCGUGUGUGAAGAGGCCCUCGGGGUGUAAGCACUUUUAUCAGGAGCGAAAUCUGCAUGGCUAAUACCCAUGUAGUCUGACGGUACCUGAGGAAUAAGCACCGGCUAACUCCGUGCCAGCAGCCGCGGUAAUACGGAGGGUGCAAGCGUUAAUCGGAAUUACUGGGCGUAAAGCGUGCGUAGGCGGUUCGUUAAGUCUGCUGUGAAAGCCCCGGGCUCAACCUGGGAAUGGCAGUGGAUACUGGCGAGCUAGAGUGUGAUAGAGGAUGGUGGAAUUCCCGGUGUAGCGGUGAAAUGCGUAGAGAUCGGGAGGAACAUCAGUGGCGAAGGCGGCCAUCUGGAUCAACACUGACGCUGAGGCACGAAAGCGUGGGGAGCAAACA
rnacentral:rRNA from 1 species